GUGCUCUCUUUGGUAGCACAAAAACUAAAAUUGGAACGACACAGAGAAGAUUGGCAUAGCCCCUGCAUGAGAAUGACAUGCAAAUUCGUGAAGUGGUCCAUGUUUAA